rnacentral:rRNA from 1 species
AUGGCGCUCCCCGCUCUUUCCUUCCAGCCCUCCACCCUGAUGGGCUCAAAAGCCGCUGACUCCGCCUCCGGAUUCCCCGACUGGGUCUUCCUCUGCGAGGAGCCGCGUUUCUCGGAACGCCGGAACGAGACCACCGCCAAGUGCCGGACCGGCGAGGGCCAAGCCGUGGAGGUGUCCUUCUGGCUCGUCGACCCGCCCGGCGUCUCCUACUUCACCUUCAACUGCCCCGGCCUCGACGCCUCCGUCUUCCACGAGAAGGAGCCGCCCUCCCUCGUCUGCGCCGCGGCCGCCUUCGUCGUCUUCUGCCUCUCAUUCAGGGGCUCCAUCCACCACUUCGUCUACAGAGCCGCCCCCGCAGGGAAGCAGUCGCUGCAGCUGCUCCCGGACCGGGACCCCAGCUCCACGGUCUUCAGGAGAACGGGGUUCGGCCUCUUGCCCUGCGCCGACGGCGAGCACUACGCCGUGGCAUACAUCGACCGCCAGUGCCUUGGCAAAGAUUCUGAUUGGUGGUUCCAUGCACACGUCUUCUCGUCUGAAACUCGGGCGUGGAGCAGCCACAGGGUGUCGUUGCGGCACUUAUCCAAGUCUGAGAGGCUCAUGUGUUGUCGACAUGGCUUGUCACAGCAGAUCGCUGUUGCAGGCUCACUGGGCUGGGUUGAUCUCAUGCGUGGCAUUGUCCUUCUUUGCAACCUGUUGGACGGGAAUCCUGUCAUCAAGUUUAUCCCGUUCCCCGAAUCAAGGGUUAGCUUUCUCGACGAGGAUGGCCGCCCUGAGCUCGCUCCUCAGUAUUAUUGCAAUGUUGCCUGCUGCGGCGAUCUCAUCAAAUUCAUCGAGGUGGAAUUUGAUGACCCGGUUGUCAGGACCAGCGGUAUAGGUUGGAGAGCCACUCUGUGGGAGAGGAAGAUCUCCUGGGACAAGUGGGAGAUCCGUUCCACGGUCGAUGUUGCUAACAUCUCGGUUGACCAAAGUUUUUCUGCUGUAUUGCCUGGGCUGUGGUGUGAUGAGACCCAAAAACUGGACUUGAAGAAACUGAUUUUCUAUACCCCGCUGCCGAGCAGGCGUGAUGAUGAUCUUUUUUACAUGGUGGCUAAGGUGAAUGCUGACGACGAGACUGCCUGGGCCAUCGCAGUUGACAUGGAAAGGGCAGCUGUGGAAGCAAUGGCCCAGUUCUCUCUUGGACGGUACAAGUACCACAUUGCAAUGUACUCUUCAUGCGACUUCCCCAAGUACCUCAACAUGACCCCAGGGGCAGACAUGUAUAAUCCAGUGGACAAGUGCUCUAAGCGGAUGUCUGUUGCCAGGUUGAGUGCAAAGCAGUGUGUGGUGCAAGUGCUGCGGACUCUAGACUGGCUUCAAGAACUUGAUCAAUGCUUGGAAAUUGAGAGGUCAACUGACAACGCAUACAGAUUAUUACUUCAGUUUUCUCCAGUAUCAUCUCUGUGUUCCAGUAUCAGACCAAUGGUAAAAUAUGCUUCCCAAGGUGAAGCUGCAUCGAAGGCUGUAGAUUUUUGCCGAAGAGCUUUGGAAGAUUUCGACUUGGCUCUACACGGAUCACCGAGUGAUCCAUCAGCAUCCGUUGAAACCAUGCGUAGCAAAAUCAGUGAUGUCAUUCAAGCUUUGGACAACGUCAUGCAAAUUGUGCCAUCAACACUGAUACCGAAAGAAAGGAUGCUUGGAGAUGCCAGCGACCAAAAAAGAUCAAAGGCAACAUCUGAAACUCUUGAGAAGCCAUUCGAGGCAAAGAAUACAGUUUAUGGGUGGCUGCUACUGAGAUUGAUGUCCUUUCCUCGGGAGUGGUAUCAAGUUCGCAGGAGAUGGAUGAUAGCUAGCCGUGAACAACGACAAGCCGUGGUGAAUACAAAGGAUAAACAUGGCAAGUGGCGGCAACGGAAAUACGAGCCCGGUAAUUCUCGAAGAGAAAAAAGGACCUGA